UUAAUCCAAACAAACUUCACAUCA
rnacentral:siRNA from 1 species